rnacentral:rRNA from 1 species
AUUGAACGCUGGCGGCAGGCCUAACACAUGCAAGUCGAACGAGUGGCGGACGGGUGAGUAAUGUCUGGGAAUCUGCCUGAGGGAGGGGGAUCACUACUGGAAACGGUAGCUCAUAACGAAUAGCAUAGGAUGUGACCAGAUAGGAUUAGCUAGUAGGUGGGGUAAAGGCAAACCAAGGCGACGAACCCUAGCUGGUCUGAGAGGAUGACCAGUAACACUGGAACGGAGACACGGUCCAGACUCCGACGGGAGGCAGCAGUGGGGAAUAUGGCACAAUGGGCGCAAGCCUGAUUCAGCCCUCCCGAGUGUCUGAAGAAGGCCUUCGGAUUGUAAAGUACUUUCAGCGGGGAGGCGUUACCCGCAGAAGAAGCACCGGCUAACUCCGUGCCAGCCGCCGCGGUAAUUC